rnacentral:rRNA from 1 species
GACGAACGCUGGCGGCGUGCUUAACACAUGCAAGUCGAGCGGUAAGGCCCUUUCGGGGGUACACGAGCGGCGAACGGGUGAGUAACACGUGGGUGACCUGCCUUUAGCUCUGGGAUAAGCCUGGGAAACCGGGUCUAAUACCGGAUAUGACUCCGCGGCGCAUGUUGUGGGGUGGAAAGCCUUGUGCGGCUGGAGAUGGGCCCGCGGCCUAUCAGCUUGUUGGUGGGGUGAUGGCCUACCAAGGCGACGACGGGUAGCCGGCCUGAGAGGGCGACCGGCCACACUGGGACUGAGACACGGCCCAGACUCCUACGGGAGGCAGCAGUGGGAAUCUUGCGCAAUGGCGAAAGCCUGACGCAGCGACGCCGCGUGAGGGAUGACGGCCU